UACGUAGGUCCCGAGCGUUGUCCGGAUUUAUUGGGCGUAAAGCGAGCGCAGGUGGUUUAAUAAGUCUGGUGUAAAAGGCAGUGGCUCAACCAUUGUGUGCAUUGGAAACUGUUAGACUUGAGUGCAGUAGAGGAGAGUGGAAUUCCAUGUGUAGCGGUGAAAUGCGUAGAUAUAUGGAGGAACACCGGUGGCGAAAGCGGCUCUCUGGACUGUAACUGACACUGAGGCUCGAAAGCGUGGGUAGCAAACAGG
rnacentral:rRNA from 1 species